AUUGAACGCUAGCGGGAUGCUUUACACAUGCAAGUCGAACGAGUGGCGGACGGGUGUUUAAUAUAUCGGAACGUGCCCAAUCGCGGGGGAUACCUACUCGAAAGUUUGGCUCAUACCCCUUACUAUUGGUGCGGCCGUUUGCGGAUUAGCUAGUUGGUGGGGUAAAGGCUCACCAAGGCAACGAUCCGUAGCUGGUUUGAGAGGACGACCAGCCACACUGGGACUGAGACACGGACCAGACUCCUACGGGAGGCAGCAGUGGGGAAUUUUGGACAAUGGGGGAAACCCUGAUCCAGCCAUCCCGCGUGUAUGAGAAGGCCUUCGGGUUGUAAAGUACUUUUGGCAGAGAAGCGGUAUCUGCAGAAUAAGCACCGGCUAACUACGUGCCAGCCGCCGCGGUAAUAC
rnacentral:rRNA from 1 species